rnacentral:rRNA from 1 species
UGAAUACGAGACGCUAAGGCGUCGAAGUAGUGUAUGUCAUACUUCCAAGAAAAGCUUGCACUGUCAUAGAUAAAAAACGCCUGUACCAUAACCGACACAGGUGGGUAGGUAGAGUAUACUAAGGGGCGCGAGAUAACUCUCUCUAAGGAACUCGGCAAAAUAACUCCGUAACUUCGGGAGAAGGAGUGCCUUAUUCGUAAGGUUGCAAUAACAAGAUCCAAGCAACUGUUUAUCAAAAACACAGGUCUCCGCUAAGUCGUAAGACGAUGUAUGGGGGCUGACGCCUGCCCAGUGCCAGAAGGUUAAAGAAGUUGGUUAGCAAUUGCGAAGCUGAUAACUGAAGCCCUGGUGAACGGCGGCCGUAACUAUAACGGUCCUAAGGUAGCGAAAUUCCUUGUCGGGUAAGUUCCGACCCGCACGAAAGGCGUAAUGAUUUGGAUACUGUCUCGGAGAGGGGCUCGGUGAAAUAGACUUGUCUGUGAAGAUGCGGACUACCUGCACCAGGACAGAAAGACCCUAUGAAGCUUUACUGUAACUUGAAAUUGAAAUUGGACUUUAUUCGCGCAGUAUAGGUGGGAGGCGUUGAUUAUAAUCUUGUGGGAUUAUUGGAGCCAUCAGUGAGAUACCACUCUUGUAAUGUUAGAUUUCUAACUUUGAAUCAUUAUCUGGUCAAAGAGCAGUUUCAGGCGGGCAGUUUGACUGGGGCGGUCGCCUCCUAAACGGUAACGGAGGCGUACAAAGGUUUCCUCUGAACGGUUAGAAAUCGUAUCUAGAGUGUAAAGGCAUAAGGAAGCUUGACUGUGAGACCUACAAGUCGAGCAGGGACGAAAGUCGGUCUUAGUGAUCUGACGGUACUGAGUGGAAAGGCCGUCACUCAACGGAUAAAAGUUACUCUAGGAUAACAGGCUGAUCUCCCCCAAGAGUUCACAUCGACGGGGAGGUUUGGCACCUCGAUGUCGGCUCAUCGCAUCCUGGGGCGGUAGUACGUCCCAAGGGUUGGGCUGUUCGCCCAUGAAAGCGGUACGCGAGCUGGGUUCAGAACGUCGUGAGACAGUUCGGUCCAUAUCCGGUGUAGGCGUUAGAAUAUUGAGAGGAGCCUUCUUUAGUACGAGAGGACCGAGAAGGACAUACCUCUGGUGUACCAGUUAUCGUGCCAACGGUAAACGCUGGGUAGCUAUGUAUGGAGUGGAUAACCGCUGAAAGCAUCUAAGUGGGAAGCCCACCUCAAGAUAAG